UUUAUAUAUUAUCCAUUGUUUUCUGUACAAAGUAAAUUUUCUGAGGCACAUUGACUUCCUCUACAUUUUUUAUUACAGUAAAUCUAAAUUACAAUGGGCGUGAAGAUAUACAUAUGGGCAGAGGGAGGAGGAAAUGUAGGUCAUGGAUCGAUGACCCUAGGCGAUGGAACCCAUAUCAGCUGGUGGCCCAAGGACGACAAAGCGAAAUCUGCCAACCAAAGAUGGACAUCAGUGGAAGCAGAACCAGCAACUUCGUAUGAACAAGAUGUUGAAUGGGAAGGAAAACCAGCUGAUUUCAUAUACAAAAUUCCUUCCGGAAAACUUGAUGAGGCAGCAAUAAAAUCAUGGUGGAAUGAAUUCAAAACAACAAACAGAUAUCACAUUGUUUUUAAGAAUUGUUGCAGUGCCGUAUACAGCGCUUUGCAGAAAGGUGGAGCUGACAAGAUAGCAUCGUUUCCGAUGUCUCCUAUUUCAACACCAGCAAACCUGAAGGAAUAUGCUGAGAAACUACAAAAAGCUACAAAAUAACAAACAUUAAAUCAAAGGACAAUGAACAGCGCUGAUUUUAUUAUAUAACCAAAAAUCAUCAUAUGACAUCGUUUCAUCAUAAGAGUGUUUCUUGUACUCUUGCGUAACUCCGCUUAAAAGUUUUAAAAGUUGAUGGAUUAAAUCAACAAAGCGACAUAUAUAAUUAGUUAUCAAAUAAAAAAAAAAGUGGACAAUA